UACGUAGGGGGCAAGCGUUAUCCGGAUUUACUGGGUGUAAAGGGGGCGCAGACAGCGAUGCAAGCCAGGAGUGAAAGCCCGGGGCCCAACCCCGGGACUGCUCUUGGAACUGCGUGGCUGGAGUGCAGGAGGGGCAGGCGGAAUUCCUGGUGUAGCGGUGAAAUGCGUAGAUAUCAGGAGGAAUACCGGUGGCGAAGGCGGCCUGCUGGACUGCAACUGACGUUGAGGCCCGAAAGCGUGGGGAGCAAACAGG
rnacentral:rRNA from 1 species